rnacentral:rRNA from 1 species
GGCGAGUGAAGCGGCAACAGCUCAAAUUUGAAAUCUGGCCCUUGGGUCCGAAUUGUAAUUUGUAGAGGAUGAUUUUGGUGCGGUAUCUUCCGAGUUCCUUGGAACAGGACGCCUUAGAGGGUGAGAGCCCCGUACGGUUGAAUGCCUAGCCUCUGUAAAUCUCCUUCGACGAGUCGAGUAGUUUGGGAAUGCUGCUCUAAAUGGGAGGUAAAUUUCUUCUAAAGCUAAAUAUUGGCCAGAGACCGAUAGCGCACAAGUAGAGUGAUCGAAAGAUGAAAAGCACUUUGAAAAGAGGGUUAAAUAGCACGUGAAAUUGUUGAAAGGGAAGGAUUUGUGACCAGACUUUUUCUGGGCGGAUCAUCCGGGGUUCUCUCCGGUGCACUUCGCCCAGUAAAGGCCAGCAUCGGUUUUCGGCGUGGGAUAAAAGCAGUAGGAAUGUGGCUCUCUACGGGGAGUGUUAUAGCCUAUUGUAUAAUACCGCGCUGGGGACCGAGGUUCGCGCUUCUGCAAGGAUGCUGGCGUAAUGGUUAUCAAUCACCCGUCUUGAAACACGGACCAAGGAGUCGAACAUUUGUGCGAGUGUUUGGGUGUUAAACCCUCACGCGUAAUGAAAGUGAACGGAGGUGAGAGCCCUUACGGGUGCAUCAUCGACCGAUCCUGAAGUUUUCGGAUGGAUUUGAGUAAGAGCAUAACUGUUCGGACCCGAAAGAUGGUGAACUAUGCGUGGAUAGGGUGAAGCCAGAGGAAACUCUGGUGGAGGCUCGCAGCGGUUCUGACGUGCAAAUCGAUCGUCAAAUCUGCGCAUGGGGGCGAAAGACUAAUCGAACCA